rnacentral:ncRNA from 1 species
UCUUAUCCAGAGUGGUGGAGGGACUGGCCCUAUGAAACCCGGCAACCAAUAUAUUUAGGUUAAUUAUAUCUAAAUUUAGAACGGUGCUAAUUCCAGCAGUUAUUAGAAGACUGAUAGAUAAGA